ACAGGAAAGGGCAGGGGCGACUCCCCACUCUUCAAAACCCUAGAACUUCACUAAUCUUGCAAAUUGAAGGUCCAAUUCAGUCCAAAAUCGAAAUUUAAGCAUGGAUUAUUAAUCCUCAUCACAAGAGGAUUAAAAGUUUGAUCUCGUCAAGCUAAGUGGGAGCUGGAAAGGAAUGGAUCAAACGGAUCAUGGAUGCGAAGAAUGUUUGCGCGGACGCGACGGUAAAACGGCUUAUGGAAUUUACGUGGCUAUGAAUCAGCAAAUUAUUAAGGCAAGGUAUUAAAACGGGUCAAUACUUUGACCCGCGCCAGGUACGCGUAAAUUUGGUGAAAGAUAUGUGAAUACCUUAAUGUAGAAAAAUGACAUGUGAAAGUAGAGAGUAGGAUUUAAACUUAAAUGAUUAAAUCCUCUCUAACGGGUCAAAAUAAGAACUUGAACGUAAAUGGGUUCUAACUAAGUAAGAAACCCAUGAUUUAUGAUUUAUUUGAUAGGAAAUAUUGAAAUUAUGAUUUUCAUGAGUUUAUAGAGCAAGUAAACAUGUUUGUUUGAUAAAAUCGCGAACGGGUUAAAAUUUGGUAAAAAUGGUAAUAAGCCGAAGACUUAAAAGUCUUAAAUUUUGUUAAUUCGGAUGUUGGAUUUUGACUCCAUAUUAUGAAGGGUCAAAUUACAAUCAUGUAGGAAGAAACGGUGGGUCAAACGGAUAAGCGGUUUGAAAGAUACGAAAGUUUUCGUGCCAAUAAACGGCAAAAUAGGAAAGCUGGAAUGCAGGGGCCACCGUAACU
rnacentral:lncRNA from 1 species